rnacentral:rRNA from 1 species
GACGAACGCUGGCGGCGUGCUUAACACAUGCAAGUCGAACGAUGAACUUGGAGCUUGCUCUGGGGGAUUAGUGGCGAACGGGUGAGUAACACGUGAGUAACCUGCCCUGGACUCUGGGAUAACUUCGAGAAAUCGGAGCUAAUACCGGAUAGGACCUUGCACCGCAUGGUGUGGGGUGGAAAGUUUUUCGGUUUGGGAUGGACUCGCGGCCUAUCAGCUUGUUGGUGAGGUAAUGGCUCACCAAGGCGUCGACGGGUAGCCGGCCUGAGAGGGUGACCGGCCACACGGGGACUGAGACACGGCCCAGACUCCUACGGGAGGCAGCAGUGGGGAAUAUUGCACAAUGGGCGCAAGCCUGAUGCAGCAACGCCGCGUACGGGAUGACGGCCUUCGGGUUGUAAACCGCUUUUAGUAGGGAAGAAGCCUUCGGGUGACGGUACCUGCAGAAAAAGGACCGGCUAACUACGUGCCAGCCGCCGCCGUAAAAC